GCCUAAUACAUGCAAGUCGUAUGCCCGCAAGGGCAUGGCGCACGGGUGAGUAACGCGUAGGAAUCUGCCUUAGAGUGGGGGAUAACCUGGGGAAACUCGGGCUAAUACCGCAUAAUGCUGAGAAGUCAAAGGAGCAAUUCGCUCUAAGAUGAGCCUGCGUAUGAUUAGCUAGUUGGUGGGGUAAUGGCCUACCAAAGCAAUGAUCGUUAGCUGGUCUGAGAGGAUGACCAGCCACAAUGGAACUGAUACACGGUCCAUACUCCUACGGGAGGCAGCAGUAGGGAAUUUUGCGCAAUGGGCGAAAGCCUGACGCAGCAAUGCCGCGUGUAGGAAGAAGCAUCUUGGUGUGUAAACUACUGUCGGCGGGGAAAAAGAAAGUGAUUGUACCCGCAAAGGAAGCAUCGGCUAACUACGUGCCAGCAGCCGCGGUAAGACGUAGGAUGCAAGCGUUGUCCGGAUUUAUUGGGCGUAAAGAGGUCGUAGGUGGCAAUGUAAGUUUUAUGUGAAAUAAUAGGGCUCAACCCUGUUCCCGCAUAAAAUACUGCAUUGAUGGAGCAAGGUAGGGGUUAGAGGAAUUCCUGGUGUAGCGGUGAAAUGCGUAGAUAUCAGGAGGAACACCGGUGGCGAAAGCGUCUGACUGGGCCUUUGCUGACACUGAGGAACGAAAGCUAGGGGAGCGAAAGGGAUUAGAUACCCCUGUAGUCCUAGCUGUAAACGAUGGAUACUAGUUGUUGCAGGAAUCGACCCCCGCGGUGACGAAGUUAACGCAUUAAGUAUCCCGCCUGGGAAGUACGUUCGCAAGAAUGAAACUCAAAGGAAUUGACGGGGACCCGCACAAGCGGUGGAACAUGUGGUUCAACUCGAUGCAACGCGAAGAACCUUACCUGGCCUUGACAUGCCAAGAACCUAGUAGAAAUAUUGGGGUGCCUUCGGGAGCUUGGACACAGGUGCUGCAUGGUUGUCGUCAGCUCGUGUCGUGAGAUGUUGGGUUAAGUCCCGCAACGAGCGCAACCCUUGUUGUUUGUUGCUAUUUAGUAGCAAUACUGAAGUACUCUGACAAGACUGCCCCGGUUAACGGGGAGGAAGGCGGGGACGACGUCAAAUCAUCAUGGCCCUUACGGCCAGGGCAACACACGUGUUACAAUGGGCGCCACAACGGGCAGCAACUAGGCAACUAGAAGCAAAUCCCUAAAAAGCGCUCUCAGUUCGGAUCGUAGGCUGCAACUUGCCUACGUGAAGUCGGAAUCGCUAGUAAAUGCGGAUCAGCACGCCGCAUUGAAUACGUUCCCGGGUCUUGCACACACCGCCCGUCAC
rnacentral:rRNA from 1 species